rnacentral:rRNA from 1 species
CCUACGGGAGGCAGCAGUGGGGGAUAUUGCACAAUGGGGGAAACCCUGAUGCAGCGACGCCGCGUGGGUGAAGAAGCGCCUCGGCGCGUAAAGCCCUGUCAUCAGGGAAGAAAAUGACGGUACCUGACGAAGAAGCACCGGCUAACUACGUGCCAGCAGCCGCGGUAAUACGUAGGGGGCAAGCGUUAUCCGGAUUUACUGGGUGUAAAGGGGGCGCAGGCGGGGUUGCAAGCCAGGAGUGAAAGCCCGGGGCGCAACCCCAGAACUGCACUUGGAACUGGUUGGCUAGAGUGCGGGAGGGGCAGGUGGAAUUCCUGGUGUAGGGGUGAAAUGCGUAGAUAUCAGGAGGAACACCGGUGGCGAAGGCGGCCUGCUGGAAUGCAACUGACGUUGAGGCCCGAAAGCGUGGGGAGCAAACAGGAUUAGAUACCCGGGUAGUC